rnacentral:lncRNA from 1 species
CUCCUGUGACAUCCUCGGUUUACUUCAGGCACAUCUCCUAAGAAAUUGUUUAAGAAGGAAUAUUGUUUCCUUCAUAACAAUCAUACAUACUAUAUUCUUCUGUGGUUAUUUGUACGGGUUUUAUGCAAUUUUUAAAUUGUGCAGUUUUUUUUGCUAUGAUAGUAGUUCACACUGUGAAAAUUAUAAGAUUGAUGCACUGUUACUGUACAAGUUCCUUCUGUACAUUUUAGUACUGCAGGUGAAAUUCCUUUUACAAAAAUGACUGGCAGCUACUUGCACUCAUUCCCUCCUGGCAGCUCAACUCACAUGAUUGCGUGACUAUAAAACUUAAGGGCAGAAAGUUCGAGAACAACAUGACAACGACGUCCGAGAGCUGAGCUCAUCGAAAUGCAUGGAUGUGGACAGACGGCGCAAGGACCUGGGAACUAACCCCACAGUCUGCGGGCCAUCUAGACGAUCACCCGUGAGUGAGUGUGUGUGUGUGUGUGUGAGUCAGUGUGUGCGCGCGCUCACCAUCGUUUGAAUCGCAGCUCGUGUUUGUUCCCACGCAUCGAUCGCGCAGCCCUUCAUUCCCCAGCUGUCAGCGACCAGCACAGGACACAUCGACCUCUUCCCCCGAGACUCCGCGGAGCUCAGCCUGAGGUAGGCAGAGAAAUGUCAACUGUCAUCUUUGAAAGGACCUCAAGUUUCAAAGAAGAGGAAAUAUUUGGUUCUUAUGCGGAGAACACAUUCGAUGGAAACGCGUAGAUAUGAAUGAAGGGCGGUAUGAAAACAAGCUUGUGAAGAUGAGAGAGGGUAUUUUUCACAGAAACCUCAUGUCAGGACCGAGAUAAGGGAAGACAGGCCUGUGUGAAGAGGACAGAUGCCUCCUGCAUUGCUGCCUUUGAACUGUCUUGUUUCGUUUUCCAUUAAAUACUCAAACUGUCUUUGGUGAACAGUGCAUUUCUACACUGAAGCCCCACGCACACAUCUUCCGUUGUUAAAAACGUUUCCCCUGUCUUGCAAAUGUAUCUUGCAUCCCUCCUUUGAGAUCCCCUUAGACAACACAGGAUACAAACACACAGUUUGUCGCUCGAAGAAACAGUUGAUUUCUGUUUAUUUAUUCUUUUUUCACUUAUUUCAAUCGGAUUGUUCAUGGGAAUUAUGAAAUCCUUUUACACCGUCAUGUCACAUGUAUUGACAAGCUUCUGCCUUCCUUGUCAAGAUGAGGGAGGCAACAUUAGCCAGGGAUUUUGAUUUGGUAUGUGAGCACA